CAGCCUUUUCCUAAAGUUAGAUAGGAGGAUUGGCACGUGGCUUGGUUACGAGGAUGAAUCUGUAGCGAGAUAGAACAAACCACAAGGGUGACAAGGCUGUCUAUACCAAACCACAAGCUCUUGGACCGCCACAUUAAAUGUGGCGACUGCAGUCAGGUAACCUGGGGUGAGAUCUUUAAUGCAUCAUUUAGGGGCCUGUGUUUUGCACAACCAAAUGAGGCAGUGUUUUACCUGUAUUUCCAGCAUUAUCCAGCUGGUGUCACUUCAGCCCCAAUUUUUUUUGUUUCAAUUAACCAGCUCACCAAUUCUCAAAGCAAUAAGGAUUAUUUCCCCAACAUUACAUUUUUUACAUUUUGGUCAUUUAGCAGACGCUCUUAUCCAGAGCGACUUACAGUUAGUGAGUGCAUAA